rnacentral:rRNA from 1 species
GAUGAACGCUGGCGGCGUGCUUAACACAUGCAAGUCGAACGGAAAGGCUCCUGCUUGCAGGGGUACUCGAGUGGCGAACGGGUGAGUAACACGUGGGUGAUCUGCCCUGCACUUCGGGAUAAGCCUGGGAAACUGGGUCUAAUACCGGAUAGGACGAUGGUUUGGAUGCCAUUGUGGAAAGUUUUUUCGGUGUGGGAUGAGCUCGCGGCCUAUCAGCUUGUUGGUGGGGUAAUGGCCUACCAAGGCGUCGACGGGUAGCCGGCCUGAGAGGGUGUACGGCCACAUUGGUACUGAGAUACGGCCCAGACUCCUACGGGAGGCAGCAGUGGGGAAUAUUGCACAAUGAGCGCAAGCCUGAUGCAGCGACGCCGCGUGGGGGAUGACGGCCUUCGGGUUGUAAACUCCUUUCGCUAGGGACGAAGCGCAAGUGACGGUACCUGGAGAAGAAGCACCGGCUAACUACGUG